rnacentral:rRNA from 1 species
AUGGAUUUCGGUAUCCAAAGAAUUGGUCCGUUGUUGCAGAUGCUCUUAACGAGGGCUUGUAUGUUCCCUUGCGGGAUGCUUGUGAAAAAAGCAAGAUUUUCUUUAUAUCCAGAUUCACGUUUCUUCAUUACGGAAACGGAUUUCGGCAUCCAAAAUGUUUGUCCGUUGUUGGAGAUGAUCUUAACGGCAACUUCAAUGGCCACAUUUAUUCAAAACGGAAAACUACGGUGUUUCUCAAAGGCUCUCGAAGUUUUUCGGUUACUUACCAAGAGCAGUUGCAUUGACCAGGCGGAAAGGAGAGACCAAAAUGAGAAUGGAGUGAGCAGGCUGAACAAUACGAGGUCGAACGAGAAUCUCUUCUGA